GUCUGUGGUUAAGUUGUCUAACUCAUGGGGUGGGCUGAUUAAGUCUAUUAAGAAUUGUCCUAGGAGAUCAUCCAUUUUUGAAAUACAAGAGCCAGAAACAACAAGCUUAAUCCUUUAGGAAACCCUUAGUGGCUGAGGCUCUGAAUUAUUCUUAGGGCCAACUGUGUGAUUUUAUUUCCCAACCAGCCCUUUUGAACUCAAGUCUGAUAAUAUGAUCAUCACGUCUGGUAAUAUGAGCAGGAACCAUUCAGUGAUCAAGAAAUGUGCUGCUCACUCCAUCAGGAGCUGGUAUCAGAGAUGAAGGAACCCCAACUACAAAUACCUGUGUAAACAUCCAGAAAACAACAAGAAGACACAGGGACACACAAGGAGAAGACUCCUCUCUCGUAUGAUGAUGGGGGCAGAGACAGAGAUGUCCAAGGAACACUGGGGCCACCAGGGGCUGGAAGAGACAAGGAAGAAUCCUCUCCUAGAGGCUUCAGAGGAGCAUGGCCAUGCCCACAC
ensembl:lncRNA